rnacentral:lncRNA from 1 species
AAUUUUUUUUAAAAAAAGAAGGGAGAGACUUAGAAAAUGAACUGCAAAAAAGUUUCUUUCAGACUUCCUUGCCAAACUGUGGCACUUUGUCAGAUUGCUUAGUUAACUGGUAGGAAGAGGGUUUUGUUCCCAUGGUAAAGAACCUGUACUAUGCGUCUUUAUAUACAUUCAUUGCCAUCCAGUGUAAGGUGAGGCAGACAGGUCUGGAACCUUUCAUCCAACGUCUUUGUUCUGAAACAUUGUCUCUAUUCUUAAGGAGCUUACAUUUUAGUUUGAGCCGCUAAAUGCUUUUAUAUGUAAGGAGAUAAGAAUUCACAUAUGAAUGGGCAUGUUGUUUUGCACCGUUUAAGACUAUUUAGGCUUUGAUUUUUAAAAGACAAACCUUUUUUUAUAUGGUUUUAAAGAGCUAAUACUCAGACUUUUUUGUGGUCGUGUACUAAUCCUGGUUUAC